rnacentral:rRNA from 1 species
CCUCAAAUCAGGUAGGACUACCCGCUGAACUUAAGCAUAUCAAUAAGCGGAGGAAAAGAAACUAACAAGGAUUCCCCUAGUAACUGCGAGUGAAGCGGGAAAAGCUCAAAUUUAAAAUCUGGCGGCUUCGCCGUCCGAGUUGUAAUCUGGAGAAGCGUUUUCCGUGUUGGACCGUGUACAAGUCUCUUGGAACAGAGCGUCAUAGAGGGUGAGAAUCCCGUCUUUGACACGGACUACCAAUGCUUUGUGAUACGCUCUCGAAGAGUCGAGUUGUUUGGGAAUGCAGCUCAAAAUGGGUGGUAAAUUCCAUCUAAAGCUAAAUAUUGGCGAGAGACCGGUAGCGAACAAGUACCGUGAGGGAAAGAUGAAAAGCACUUUGGAAAGAGAGUUAAACAGUACGUGAAAUUGUUGAAAGGGAAACGCUUGAAGUCAGUCGCGUUGUCCGGGACUCAGCCUUGCUUCUGCUUGGUGUAUUUCCUGGUUGACGGGCCAACAUCGAUUUUGGACGGCGGAUAAAGGUGAGGGGAAUGUGGCAUCCUCGGAUGUGUUAUAGCCUCUCGUCGGAUGCGUCGUCUGGGAUCGAGGACCGCAGCACGCCUUUUUGGCCGGGGUUCGCCCACGUAACGUGCUUAGGAUGUUGGCAUAAU